ACGGAAGUGCAAGCGACUACGCGGAGCAUCUGGACUACACUUCCUAGAAUACCAAGGAAAACCAUCGGGAGUCUCACCUUCCAGGUAGACGUGUUGGGGGCGCAGGAAGUUUCUUGCCUCCACUUCCCAGGAUGCCAGGGCGGAAAGAAUCCCACAGUCCCGACUUCCGUGGUGGUAGUAAGGGUCUGCUCCUGAGUCGUCCCGCGAAGGAAAGCAUCAGAGACAGAAAAAAUUAAGCCAUUCACCCAGUGUUCUACUGAGGGAGACAAAGAAGGUGCGCCCUCAAGGCGAGAGCCCUGGAGACCGUCCAAGGCCAGGUACAAUCCUACCCACCCCUCAGCCUCUGCCCAAAGGAACCACUGCCCACGACCCAGCCUUCAAGCCAUCGCUCUCUGACGCAGCGCUUCCACACAAAAUUAAUGGCUGGGUUAGAUCGCUAACCGGGGAAGUUGGGAAGAGUCGCAAAACGCGAAAGCAACUCACCACAGCCAAAGAAAAGGCGAGAACCAAACCACCCGGAAGGGAAGUGACUGAAACCCCGCCCCCAGGCUACGAUAGGGAUAUCCUUCCCAGAAUUCCCUUGUCGCUGCUGCGCCUGUACGGAAGUGUAAGAGUCGCCACAGAACUGUGGACUACAUUUCCCAGAAAACCAGAGGAGAACACAGCCCGAGUUCCCAUCCUUCUCCACCGGAAGUACUGGAGACGCUUCGGAGACGUUGGACUGCAGUUCCCACAAUACCCUUAGGGACGAAGUUUCUAUUGUGGAGCUCCUGAGCAGUAAGAUGGUUUCCUACUGGGGGCUAGUGGGAAGUCUGAUAUAUUAGGAGAGUUUCCUUUGUGGCUCAGUGGUUAAUGAAUCUGACUAGGAACCAUGAGGAUGUGGGUUUGAUUCCUGGUAUCUCUCCGUAGGUUAAGGAUCGGGCAUUGCCUGUGAGCUGUGGUGUAAGUGGUAGACACAGCUCGGAGCUUCGGCUGCGACCCUAAAAGUAUAUAUUGUAUGUUGUUUAAGCCACUACUUGUUUUGUGCCUAUUGGAACACAAACCCAGUUAAUAUAUUAUUGGAAAAUUUAUUUCAGACUCCAGUGGUGAACUUAAGAUUCUCUGAAGAAUGCACAAGAGAUGAAGGCUCAGGGAGCUGCACUAUUGGAAAUCUACGUAGCAGAACUGUUGGUCAAAACAUUUUAGUUUAAAACCGUAUUACAACACAGUUUUCUCAUGGUGUAAUGGGUUAAGGAUCUGUCGUUAGUCACUGCAGGGGCUUGGGUCGCUGCUGUGGUGUGGUUUCAAUCCCUGGCCCUGGGAACUUGGGGGGGGGGGCACAACCAAAAAAAAAAAAAAACUAAACUAAAAAUUACUUACAAGGGUGAAUAUUAAGUUAUGUGAAUUAUAUAUGAUUUAAAAAAAAA
ensembl:lncRNA